UACAGAGGUCUCAAGCGUUGUUCGGAUUCAUUGGGCGUAAAGGGUGCGUAGGCGGCGCGGUAAGUCGGGUGUGAAAUCUUGGAGCUUAACUCCGAAACUGCAUUCGAUACUGCCGUGCUUGAGGACUGGAGAGGAGACUGGAAUUUACGGUGUAGCGGUGAAAUGCGUAGAUAUCGUAAGGAAGACCAGUGGCGAAGGCGGGUCUCGUGGACAGUUCCUGACGCUGAGGCACGAAGGUCAGGGGAGCAAACGGG
rnacentral:rRNA from 1 species